GAGUUUGAUCCUGGCUCAGAACGAACGCKGACGGCGUGCUUAACACAUGCAAGUCGAACGUGAUCCGGAGCUUGCUCCGGUGAAAGUGGCGCACGGGUGAGUAACGCGUAGAUAAUCUGCCUGAUGAUCUGGGAUAACACUUCGAAAGGGGUGCUAAUACCGGAUAARCCCACGGAGUCUUUGGWCUUUGCGGGAAAAGGGGGGGACCUUCGGGCCUUCUGUCAUCAGAUGAGUCUGCGUACCAUUAGCUAKUUGGUGGGGUAAUGGCCUACCAAGGCUMCGAUGGUUAGCUGGUCUGAGAGGAUGAUCAGCCMCACUGGAACUGAGACACGGUCCAGACUCCUACGGGAGGCAGCAGUGGGGAAUUUUGCGCAAUGGGGGAAACCCUGACGCAGCAACGCCGCGUGAGUGAUGAAGGCUUUCGGGUCGUAAAGCUCUGUCAAGUGGGAAGAAGUUGUGUAKSGMUAAUAUCUGUGCMCAUUGACGGUACCAYUGAAGGAAGCACCGGCUAACUCCGUGCCAGCMGCSGCGGUAAUAC
rnacentral:rRNA from 1 species